rnacentral:rRNA from 1 species
GACGAACGCUGGCGGCGUGCCUAAUACAUGCAAGUAGAACGCUGAAACUUGGUGCUUGCACCGAGCGGGUGAGUUGCGAACGGGUGAGUAACGCGUAGGUAACCUGCCUGGUAGCGGGGGAUAACUAUUGGAAACGAUAGCUAAUACCGCAUAAGAGUAGAUGUUGCAUGACAUUUGCUUAAAAGGUGCAAUUGCACCACUACCAGAUGGACCUGCGUUGUAUUAGCUAGUUGGUGGGGUAACGGCUCACCAAGGCGACGAUACAUAGCCGACCUGAGAGGGUGAUCGGCCACACUGGGACUGAGACACGGCCCAGACUCCUACGGGAGGCAGCAGUAGGGAAUCUUCGGCAAUGGACGGAAGUCUGACCGAGCAACGCCGCGUGAGGGAAGAAGGUUUUCGGAUCGUAAAGCUCUGUUGUAAGAGAAGAACGAGUGUGAGAGUGGAAAGUUCACACUGUGACGGUAUCUUACCAGAAAGGGACGGCUAACUACGUG